rnacentral:misc_RNA from 1 species
UCGUAACAAGGUUUCCGUAGGUGAACCUGCGGAAGGAUCAUUACCGAGUUAGGGUGUCGCCUCGGCACGCCCGACCUCCCAACCCUUUGUCUACCUUACCACACCGUUGCUUCGGCAGGCCGCGCCGACCCCCGGGGAUUCGUCCCUGGGGCGAGGCCGUCGGGGGCCCUCGCGCCCCGGGCUCGCGCCUGUCGAUGGCCACUAUCAAACUCAUGUCUAAACGUGUCGUCUGAGUAAAAUAUUAAAUACAAACCAAAACUUUCAACAACGGAUCUCUUGGUUCUGGCAUCGAUGAAGAACGCAGCGAAAUGCGAUAAGUAAUGCGAAUUGCAGAAUCCGUGAGUCAUCGAAUCUUUGAACGCACAUUGCGCCCUUUGGUAUUCCGAAGGGCAUGCCUGUUCGAGCGUCAUUAUCACCCCUCAAGCCCGGCUUGCUGUUGGUGGUGGCGCGGCCCCCUCCCGGGCCGCCGCCCCGCCCAAAGAUAAUGACGGCGUCUGUGAGGACUCCUGUACACUGAGCUUUCGGGCACGUACACGGUUAGAAAUUCAGACGCCGGUCGCCGCCUUCCCCCCGGGGGAGGCACACCUUUUAUACCAAGGUUGACCUCGGAUCAGGUAGGGAUACCCGCUGAACUUAAGCAUAUCAAUAA